UGGGGAAUCUUGGACAAUGGGGGCAACCCUGAUCCAGCCAUGCCGCGUGAGUGAUGAAGGCCUUAGGGUUGUAAAACUCUUUCGCCUGUGAAGAUAAUGACGGUAGCAGGUAAAGAAACCCCGGCUAACUCCGUGCCAGCAGCCGCGGUAAUACGGAGGGGGUUAGCGUUGUUCGGAAUUACUGGGCGUAAAGCGCACGUAGGCGGACCAGAAAGUUGGGGGUGAAAUCCCGGGGGCUCAACCCCGGAACUGCCUCCAAAACUAUUGGUCUAGAGUUCGAGAGAGGUGAGUGGAAUUCCAAGUGUAGAGGUGAAAUUCGUAGAUAUUUGGAGGAACACCAGUGGCGAAGGCGGCUCACUGGCUCGAUACUGACGCUGAGGUGCGAAAGUGUGGGGAGCAAACAGGAUUAGAUACCCUGGUAGUCCACACCGUAAAACGAUGAAUGCCAGUCGUC
rnacentral:rRNA from 1 species